rnacentral:ncRNA from 1 species
GUGGUGUAUGAAAGGUGCACUCCCUUGACAAAGAUGGAAGAGGCUCUCAGGCCUGACAACACGUAUGGUUAAGGCACUGCCACUUAUUUCAGGUUAUCUAACCAUUGUUA